ensembl:lncRNA SNHG28 small nucleolar RNA host gene 28
CCUCCACACCUUGUCCAUAAACUGCCCCUCAGCUACCUUCAGACCCAGGAUACAGUUUCAGGCAGGAAGACUCAUCCUGAGCUGAGCUGCUUUUCUUGAAGUUGUGCAAGAACGUCCUGUUGGCUGGGGCAAAUUCAGUAUUUCUUUUCCUGGCCACUGUGCUGGAGCGUGAGGAAAGACUCUCCACCCUCACUCCCAGAUCCUGCAGGAGGCGUGAGAGCGGAUGGAGAUGGUGAGGAUGUCUAUUAAUAUGGUGUUUCCUGCAAAACGGUGCCCAUCUCAACCAUGGGUUGUCAACCAUCCUCGGUGUCUACAACUGCAAUUUACCUUUGAGGGCCCAUGAACUCUGAUUACCUGAAAGUCCUUAGGCCAGAAAGAGAAACCCCUGUCCCCCACCUCUCACUUUCACCUAUUUCUAGACCUUUUCUUACAGCAAUGCCUUGGCCCUCAGGAAGCAUCAGAUCUCAAACUGCAGGGUCUGGGGCUGAAGCUGAUGCUGGCAUGGGUGACUCAGAGUUCCUCUAUUAGUUCAAAUAUGUAAUAUCUUUUAGAGCCUAGGACUCAGGCUGGAGGCAAUUCCUUGGUGCCAGUUGGUUAAUACUUUAUGAAUAGUGGUGGGGGAGGGAAUGCCUUGGACUAUUAAUGUCCCCAUGGAUCUGGAUCCUGGAGAACUUCCAGUGUCCUGGAUGGAAUGUUCUGCUUGGCUCAUCUUGCCCAGAGAAGAGCCAGGAUAUGAGAAGAUGGGAGAGGGAAGGGGGAGGUGUGAAACGUGCUGGUGCUUCCUGUCCUCGUGGUGUGAUGGCUGCCCAGGCUGCUCCUUCGAGGCAGGACAGGAUUCCCAUGGGAGAUAUGAGGACCAUGGUGAUUUCCAGGCACCAGUUAUGUCCCAGAGCAUCGUGUGCCUGUGCAGUGGGGUUACUGAUAGUCCAGGCAUCAGUUCAUAUUGUCCUUUAUGGCAGAUCCUGCACAAGGGGGUUCUCUGUCUCUGGACCCACUCUGUCAGCAUGGACAUCCUUUUUCUUUUUCCCUGGUAAGGACAUCAGAAAGAAAGUUACCCCUCCAGUGUUUGGAGUCUUGGAAUCCUUGGCCUGCCUGCAGGCCUCUGAAUCCUCAGUGUGUUAGCCCAAGGUCACCUUAGGUAAAGGAACAUUUCUCCUGGUCUUCCAACACCCUGGAAAGGGAGGCUCUUCAAGAAUAGGAAAUUCUUCCUAGUAUCUAACCUUGGCCUGCAACUAUGCCAUACAUUUAAUUGUAGAAGGUAUGGAAAGUUAGGACUGUGGUGGACCCAGUUAAAUCACUGGACAGAAGCCAUGAGGCAGAGCCAGAACCAGCUUCUGGACUCCCUGCAUGGAGCUUUCUACUAUCCCAGGUUGUUGGGUCCCUUCUCAGUGGCCAAAGAUGCUAUUUUAUGAGCCUUGAGGACAUGACACUAAGUGAAAAAAGCCUGGCCAAAGGGCCACAUAGUGUAUAGUUCUAUUUAUAUGAAAUGUCCAGGAAAGACAAAAGCAUAGAGGCAGAAAGCAGACUAGUGCUGUGGGAGGAAUGGGGGAUUUGGGAGGUGAUGGCUAAGGGGUUAUGGGGUUUUGGGGGAGGUAAUAGAAAUGUUUUAAAAUUGGUUGUGAAGGUGGAUGCCCAACUCUGCGAAUACACUAAAAGGCAUCGAAUUGUAUACUUUAAAU